rnacentral:rRNA from 1 species
UACGACUACAUAUCAGGCAUAUCAAUAAGCGGAGGAAAAGAAACUAACUAGGAUUCCCUCAGUAACGGCGAGUGAAGCGGGAAGAGCUCAAAUUUGAAAUCUUCAAGGUUCUACCUUGACGAAUUGUAGUUUAAAGAAGUGUUUUCUGUUGGAGUUCUGGUAAAAGUUCUUUGGAAUAGGACAUCAUAGAGGGUGAGAAUCCCGUAUUUGACCAUUAUUUUCCAGCUGUGUGAUACACUUUCAAAGAGUCGGAUUGUUUGGGAAUGCAGUCCAAAAUGGGUGGUAAAUUUCAUCUAAAGCUAAAUAUUGGCGAGAGACCGAUAGCGAACAAGUACCGUGAGGGAAAGAUGAAAAGAACUUUGAAAAGAGAGUUAAACAGUACGUGAAAUUGUCAAAAGGGAAGCGUUUGACACCAGUGUUGUUCUCUCGAAAAUCAAUUAAAAAGAGCUGGAUUUUGUGUUGUAUUGACCUUAAUCAGCUUGCUUCACUCUUUUCUUGUCUUUUUUAAUGCACUUUUCGUUUAACAAGUCAACAUCAAUUUCUUUUGUUGUAAAAGGGUCAUUGGAAGGUGGCUUUCUUUUCGGAGAAAGUGUUUAUAGCCUUUGGCCUCUGCAAUCGGAGAGAUUGAGGUCUGCAGCGUAGAUCCUUCGGGGUUAGAUACAUUUGUGCUAAGUUAUAGCCUUUCAUAGACAACUUGUUGACUAUGAUCAGUCAUGUAGCUUACUCGCUUAUGCUAUUUUACCUACGCUUAGGAUGUUGAGCGCAUGUCUCUCUCU